CCCAACUCCAUAACCCUUCUCCACAAUUUACAGUAUCUCAAUCUUAGUUGGAAUGAGGAACUUCAAGAGCUACCGAAAGAGUUAAGGAGCAUGUGCAACAUAAAUGCAUUUGUAAUUCAAAUGUGAUAAUAGUGACAGAUUUGCAAGCUGAGGGUCAAGACUGGGCAUGAUAUCUUAGUUGUUGCUCAAAGGUGUGUAUGUAGCCUCUUAUGAAGUC